GAUGAACGCUGGCGGCGUGCCUAAUACAUGCAAGUCGAGCGAACUGAUUAGAAGCUUGCUUCUAUGACGUUAGCGGCGGACGGGUGAGUAACACGUGGGCAACCUGCCUGUAAGACUGGGAUAACUUCGGGAAACCGAAGCUAAUACCGGAUGGGAUCUUCUCCUUCAUGGGAGAUGAUUGAAAGAUGGUUUCGGCUAUCACUUACAGAUGGGCCCGCGGUGCAUUAGCUAGUUGGUGAGGUAACGGCUCACCAAGGCAACGAUGCAUAGCCGACCUGAGAGGGUGAUCGGCCACACUGGGACUGAGACACGGCCCAGACUCCGACGGGAGGCAGCAGUAGGGAAUCUUCCGCAAUGGACGAAAGUCUGACGGAGCAACGCCGCGUGAGUGAUGAAGGCUUUCGGGUCGUAAAACUCUGUUGUUAGGGAAGAACAAGUACAAGAGUAACUGCUUGUACCUUGACGGUACCUAACCAGAAAGCCACGGCUAACUACGUGCCAGCAGCCGCGGUAAAAC
rnacentral:rRNA from 1 species